GCCGCGACCGCCACAGCCCCCCCGGCUGCCACCUCUUCCCGCCGCCGCCACCGCCGCCACCGCUGCCCCCGCCGCCGCCGCCCCCGCCGCCAGAUAAAGAUGAUAUUCGGCUGCUGCCUUCAGCAUUGGGUGUGAAGAAGAGAAAACGAGGACCCAAGAAGCAGAAAGAGAACAAGCCAGGAAAACCCCGAAAACGCAAGAAGCGUGACAGUGAGGAGGAAUUUGGCUCCGAACGAGAUGAAUACCGGGAGAAGUCAGAAAGUGGGGGUAGUGAAUAUGGAACCGGACCAGGUCGGAAGCGAAGACGGAAGCACCGAGAAAAAAAGGAGAAGAAGACAAAGCGGCGGAAAAAAGGAGAGGGAGAUGGGGGGCAAAAGCAGGUGGAACAAAAGUCAUCAGCAACUCUGCUUCUGACCUGGGGCCUGGAGGAUGUGGAGCAUGUGUUCUCUGAGGAGGAUUACCACACACUCACCAACUACAAAGCCUUUAGCCAGUUCAUGAGGCCCCUAAUUGCUAAGAAGAAUCCUAAGAUCCCAAUGUCUAAGAUGAUGACCAUCCUUGGGGCCAAGUGGAGAGAGUUCAGCGCAAACAACCCCUUCAAGGGGUCAGCAGCUGCUGUGGCGGCAGCAGCAGCAGCAGCAGCAGCAGCUGUAGCUGAGCAGGUGUCAGCUGCUGUCUCAUCGGCCACCCCCAUAGCCCCUUCAGGACCCCCUGCCCUUCCACCGCCCCCUACUGCUGAUAUCCAGCCCCCACCCAUCCGAAGAGCCAAAACCAAAGAGGGCAAAGGUCCAGGCCAUAAGAGGAGGAGUAAGAGCCCCCGAGUGCCUGACGGACGCAAGAAGCUUCGGGGAAAGAAGAUGGCACCACUCAAAAUCAAACUAGGGCUGCUGGGUGGCAAGAGGAAGAAGGGAGGCUCGUAUGUUUUUCAGAGUGACGAGGGCCCUGAACCAGAGGCUGAGGAGUCAGACCUGGACAGUGGCAGUGUCCACAGUGCCUCGGGCCGGCCUGAUGGCCCUGUCCGUGCCAAAAAACUAAAGAGAGGCCGGCCAGGAAGGAAGAAGAAGAAGGUCCUGGGCUGUCCUGCAGUGCCCGGGGAGGAGGAGGUUGAUGGCUACGAGACGGAUCAUCAGGACUACUGUGAGGUGUGCCAGCAGGGUGGGGAAAUUAUUCUGUGCGACACCUGCCCUCGUGCCUACCACCUCGUCUGCCUUGAUCCUGAGCUUGACCGGGCUCCUGAGGGCAAAUGGAGCUGCCCCCACUGUGAGAAGGAAGGGGUACAGUGGGAGGCCAAGGAAGAGGAUGAAGAAUAUGAAGAGGAGGGAGAAGAAGAAGGGGAGAAGGAAGAGGAGGACGAUCACAUGGAGUACUGCCGUGUGUGCAAGGAUGGCGGGGAGCUCCUGUGCUGUGAUGCUUGCAUCUCCUCCUACCACAUUCAUUGUCUGAACCCUCCCCUGCCUGAUAUCCCCAAUGGUGAAUGGCUGUGUCCCCGAUGCACGUGCCCCGUGCUAAAGGGUCGUGUGCAGAAGAUCCUGCAUUGGCGAUGGGGGGAGCCACCUGUGGCAGUGCCAGCCCCUCAACAGACAGACGGGGAUCCUGAUGUCCCACCCCCCCGUCCCCUUCAAGGCAGAUCGGAGCGAGAGUUCUUUGUCAAGUGGGUAGGACUGUCCUACUGGCACUGUUCCUGGGCUAAGGAGCUUCAGCUGGAGAUUUUCCAUUUGGUAAUGUACCGAAACUACCAGCGGAAGAAUGACAUGGACGAGCCUCCACCCCUGGACUAUGGCUCUGGGGAGGAUGACGGGAAGAGUGACAAGCGCAAGGUGAAAGAUCCACACUAUGCUGAGAUGGAGGAGAAGUACUACCGUUUUGGCAUCAAGCCAGAAUGGAUGACUGUCCACCGUAUCAUCAACCACAGUGUGGAUAAAAAGGGGAAUUACCACUAUCUGGUGAAGUGGAGGGACUUGCCAUAUGACCAGUCCACGUGGGAAGAAGAUGAAAUGAACAUCCCUGAGUAUGAAGACCAUAAGCACAGCUACUGGAGACACCGAGAACUAAUUAUGGGGGAGGACCCUGCCCAGCCCCGCAAGUAUAAGAAGAAGAAGAAGGAGCUGCAGGGUGAUGGGCCUCCCAGUUCUCCUACUAACGACCCUACAGUGAAAUACGAGACCCAGCCACGGUUUAUCACAGCCACUGGAGGCACACUGCACAUGUAUCAGCUGGAGGGGCUGAACUGGCUACGCUUCUCAUGGGCCCAGGGCACUGACACCAUUCUGGCUGAUGAGAUGGGGCUGGGCAAGACCAUACAAACCAUCGUCUUCCUCUACUCUCUCUAUAAGGAGGGCCACACAAAAGGUCCCUUCUUGGUGAGUGCCCCACUCUCAACCAUCAUUAACUGGGAACGGGAGUUCCAGAUGUGGGCACCUAAGUUCUAUGUGGUGACAUACACGGGUGACAAAGACAGUCGAGCGAUUAUUCGUGAGAAUGAGUUCUCCUUUGAGGACAACGCCAUCAAAGGUGGCAAGAAAGCUUUUAAGAUGAAGAGGGAGGCACAGGUGAAGUUCCACGUUCUCCUGACAUCGUAUGAGCUGAUCACCAUUGACCAAGCAGCACUUGGCUCCAUCUGCUGGGCCUGUCUCGUGGUAGAUGAAGCCCAUCGACUCAAGAACAACCAGUCCAAGUUUUUCAGGGUCCUCAAUGGCUACAAGAUAGAUCAUAAGUUACUGCUGACAGGGACCCCACUGCAGAAUAAUCUGGAGGAGCUCUUCCAUCUGUUGAACUUCCUCACUCCAGAGAGGUUUAAUAACUUGGAGGGCUUCCUGGAGGAGUUUGCUGACAUAUCCAAAGAGGACCAGAUUAAGAAACUGCAUGAUUUGCUGGGGCCACACAUGCUGCGGAGGCUCAAGGCGGAUGUCUUUAAGAACAUGCCAGCCAAAACAGAGCUCAUCGUUCGAGUGGAGCUGAGCCCCAUGCAGAAGAAAUACUACAAGUACAUCUUGACUCGAAAUUUCGAGGCCUUGAAUUCUCGAGGCGGUGGGAACCAAGUGUCUCUGCUUAACAUCAUGAUGGACCUUAAGAAGUGCUGCAACCAUCCAUACCUCUUUCCUGUGGCUGCUAUGGAGUCCCCAAAACUCCCCAGUGGGGCUUAUGAGGGUGGGGCACUUAUUAAGUCAUCUGGGAAGCUCAUGCUGCUGCAGAAGAUGUUGCGGAAGCUGAAGGAGCAAGGACACAGAGUACUCAUCUUCUCUCAGAUGACCAAAAUGUUAGACUUGCUAGAGGACUUCUUAGACUACGAAGGCUACAAAUAUGAGCGCAUUGAUGGUGGCAUCACCGGUGCCCUAAGGCAGGAGGCCAUCGAUCGGUUCAAUGCUCCUGGGGCCCAACAAUUCUGCUUCCUCCUGUCCACCCGAGCUGGAGGCCUAGGCAUCAAUCUGGCCACUGCUGACACCGUCAUCAUCUUCGAUUCCGACUGGAACCCCCAUAAUGACAUCCAGGCCUUCAGCCGGGCUCAUCGGAUCGGCCAGGCCAACAAAGUGAUGAUUUACCGGUUUGUGACUCGAGCGUCAGUGGAAGAGCGAAUUACACAAGUGGCCAAGAGAAAGAUGAUGCUGACACACCUGGUGGUGCGGCCUGGGCUAGGUUCCAAGGCAGGCUCCAUGUCCAAGCAGGAGCUUGACGACAUCCUCAAAUUUGGCACUGAGGAGCUGUUUAAGGAUGAAAAUGAGGGGGAGAACAAGGAGGAGGACAGCAGUGUGAUUCACUAUGACAAUGAGGCCAUCGCUCGGCUGUUGGACCGGAAUCAGGAUGCAACUGAGGACACUGAUGUGCAGAACAUGAACGAGUAUCUCAGCUCCUUCAAGGUGGCACAGUAUGUCGUGCGGGAAGAAGACAAGAUUGAGGAAAUCGAGCGAGAGAUUAUCAAGCAGGAGGAGAAUGUGGAUCCUGACUACUGGGAGAAGCUUCUGAGGCAUCACUAUGAACAGCAGCAGGAAGACCUAGCCCGGAAUCUAGGCAAAGGCAAGAGGGUUCGCAAGCAAGUUAACUACAAUGAUGCUGCUCAGGAGGACCAAGAUAACCAGUCAGAAUAUUCAGUGGGAUCAGAGGAGGAGGACGAAGACUUCGAUGAACGUCCUGAAGGGCGUCGACAGUCAAAGAGGCAGCUCCGGAAUGAAAAGGAUAAGCCACUGCCUCCACUUCUGGCCCGAGUUGGGGGCAACAUCGAGGUGUUGGGAUUCAACACUCGUCAGCGGAAGGCUUUCCUCAAUGCUGUGAUGCGCUGGGGGAUGCCACCACAGGAUGCCUUCACCACACAGUGGCUCGUGCGGGACCUGAGGGGCAAGACAGAGAAGGAGUUCAAGGCCUAUGUAUCUUUGUUCAUGCGCCAUCUGUGUGAGCCUGGGGCAGACGGCUCUGAAACCUUUGCUGAUGGCGUCCCUCGGGAGGGACUGAGUCGCCAGCAGGUGUUGACCCGCAUUGGAGUCAUGUCUCUCGUCAAGAAGAAGGUGCAGGAGUUUGAGCACAUCAACGGGCGCUGGUCAAUGCCGGAGCUGAUGCCUGACCCCAGUGCCGACUCCAAGCGUUCUUCCAGAGCCUCCUCUCCUACCAAAACGUCCCCCACCACUCCUGAGGCUUCUGCUACCAACAGUCCCUGCACCUCUAAACCUGCUACUCCAGCUCCAAGUGAGAAAGGAGAGGGCCUGAGGACACCUCUUGAGAAGGAGGAAGCUGAAAACCAGGAGGAGAAGCCAGAGAAGAAUAGCAAAAUUGGGGAGAAGAUGGAGACAGAGGUUGAUGCCCCCAGCCCAGCCCCAUCUCUUGGGGAACGGCUGGAGCCAAGGAAGAUUCCUCUAGAGGACGAGGUGCCAGGGGUACCUGGAGAGAUGGAGCCUGAACCUGGGUACCGAGCAGACAGAGAGAAGUCAGCCACGGAAUCGACGCCAGGAGAAAGGGGGGAGGAGAAGCCGUUGGAUGGACAGGAGCACAGGGAGAGGCCGGAGGGGGAAGCAGGGGAUUUGGGCAAGAGAGCAGAAGAUGUAAAAGGUGACCGGGAGCUUCGACCAGGGCCUCCUCGAGACGAGCCACGGUCCAACGGGCGACGCGAGGAGAAGACAGAGAAGCCCCGGUUCAUGUUCAAUAUCGCAGAUGGUGGUUUCACAGAGCUUCACACACUAUGGCAGAAUGAGGAACGGGCAGCUAUUUCCUCGGGGAAACUCAAUGAAAUCUGGCACCGAAGACAUGACUAUUGGCUUCUGGCUGGGAUUGUCCUCCAUGGCUAUGCACGGUGGCAAGACAUCCAGAAUGAUGCUCAGUUUGCCAUUAUCAACGAGCCAUUUAAAACUGAAGCCAACAAGGGGAACUUUCUGGAGAUGAAAAAUAAGUUCCUGGCCCGGAGGUUCAAGCUCCUGGAGCAGGCGCUGGUGAUCGAGGAGCAGCUGCGGCGGGCGGCCUACCUGAACCUGUCACAGGAGCCGGCGCACCCCGCCAUGGCCCUCCACGCCCGCUUCGCCGAGGCCGAGUGCCUGGCCGAGAGCCACCAGCACCUCUCCAAGGAGUCGCUGGCGGGGAACAAGCCGGCCAACGCCGUCCUGCACAAGGAUGAAAUCCCAGAGCUCUCUAACCAUCUAAUCCUGUCUGAUGUAGUAACUAACUCCUGGCCCCUUUGAUCCCUGUUAUAAUUCCUUGAAUCCGUAAUACUGACUUUCUAACCUCCCUCUCCCCUUACAUAUUAAAACCUUGAUUCCUUAAAGCUUCGAUACCACUUACCACCUCCCAUGCCUCCUAUUUCCUCCCCAUCAUCCCCAACCCUAAACCUGGCUCUUCCAGUAUGGGAUGUUCUGACAACUCCCCGCCCCCAUGUCUUCCAAUGUCCUCCCCUCCCUAUUCUCCAUAUUCCCUUUUCCUUACUUCCUUCUCUCCAUCUGUCCUCUGUGGUGAUCUGGUCUCUCUCUUUUCCUGACUCUUUCUUUCCUCUGAGUUGCUUCCUUUUUUUGUCUACUUCUGUCACUUUCUUGGUCUCUGGUUCUUUGACAUCUGUGUCUUCUUUUUCUAUUAUCUGUCCAUCUGACUCCUCUCUUUUCCUGGCUCCAUCUCUCUCUUUCCCUGUCUUUCUCUUGCCCUUCUUUCUCCGUGGCCCGGGCCCCAGUUCUGAACCAGCUGGAGGAGUUGCUGAGCGACAUGAAGGCGGACGUGACCCGCCUGCCAGCCACGCUGUCCCGAAUACCCCCCAUCGCAGCCCGCCUUCAGAUGUCCGAGCGCAGCAUCCUCAGCCGGCUGGCCAGCAAGGGCACGGAGCCUCACCCCACACCGGCCUUCCCCCCAGGUCCCUACGCUACACCUCCGGGUUACGGGGUGGCGUUCAGCACCGCACCCGUAGGGGCCCUGGCCGCCGCAGGCGCCAAUUACAGCCAGAUGCCUGCAGGGUCCUUCAUCACAGCCGCCACCAACGGCCCUCCAGUGCUGGUGAAGAAGGAGAAGGAAAUGGUGGGGGCGUUGGUGUCAGACGGGCUGGAUCGGAAGGAGCCCCGAGCCGGGGAGGUGAUCUGUAUAGACGACUGACUGGAUCCCAGGCCUGCCCUUCACCCAGGCCCCGUCCCCGAGGCCGACCCCCAGCUCAGGCUCUGGGGCCUGCUGCCAACCCUCCGCCUUCCCCACCCCUUGGGUCACCACUGGGCUAGGAGCCCCUUUGCCCCUCUCUACAGCUCCUCUCUUCAAGAAGGGCCCUUUGUCUUUCUCCACUCCCAUGCACCUUUCCCACCAACCUUUGAAGACUGUGCUGGUGAGAAGAGGUCUGGGUGGGAGAUGGUUAGCAGGGUCUUCCAAGUACCUUUAUCCACUGCCCCCCACCAAAUAUAUGCAGCUUCCCAAUAAAUGGUUGUGGGGAGGAAAGAGGUGGAGCCUCCCCAGUCUUUUUUCCUGCAAUAUCAGCUCCAUCGUGCAGAAAUGGGGGAUUAGCCUUGCCUGGCCUUUAGGAACUUUUAUGGGGAAAAGAGCGUUGAAGAGAGAAGGUGGACUUUUAGAGAGGGAUGAAAUUGAGCCCUGGGAGGGAAGAGGGGAAGAAAAGGGGUGGCUGCAUGUUACCUUCCCCUACCUCUCCCUGUGUGGAGGGUGGAGCAGUUACCAAGGAAGGGAGUCAAUUGCUGUUCAGCCUCAGAAUAAAGGCGCCAUUCACUGGCUCAGUUACCUCCUGUGUACCAGCAUCGUGUGUUGGGAAUCUUUUUCCCCUUCCCUAGGGACCAAGGACCACCCCUACAAAAAGAGUAAUGGUUGGGCGAUACUCCCUCAAGCCAAAGAGGAGCUCCCCAACCUGUUCUAGGAACCCAGGUAGCCUAGAAGGGUGGGAGAGAAUACAGCGGGCCAGACAUGGAGGAAGCCCCCAGCUCUGGGGCUCAGUCCCUGGAGGACUUCUACCCUCCCUCUUCAUGGCCUGGAUAUAGACUAAAUUUGAGUAGGUCAGGCAGGGGGCCUAGUCAGGGUCUUGGGACCUACCUUGCCUUUGGGACCAGAGCAAAAUGGUGGAGGGCAGGCUAGGGAGAGGUGGGCACAUCCCCCUUCCCAGGAGGGGCCGGGGAGAGUGGCAGUUUGCAUGGCGAACCUCCCACUUCCUCUUCGCUGCCCCUUCACUUUCUUGCUGCCCCUUUCCCAGUCUCUCUUCACACCCACUCCUGGUCUGUCCUGAUCCCCUCUUCUGUAUCAGGUUUAUUGGUUGUACAUAUAAAUUAUACUUUCCUUUC